CCUACGGGAGGCAGCAGUGGGGAAUAUUGCGCAAUGGGCGAAAGCCUGACGCAGCGACGCCGCGUGAGGGAUGAAGGUCUUCGGAUCGUUAACCUCUGUCAGCAGGGAAGUACGGUCACUGUGCUAAUCAGCAGUGAAUUGACGUUACCUGCAAAGGUAGCAUCGGCUAACUCCGUCCCAGCAGCUGCGGUAAUACGGAGGGUGCGAGCGUUAAUCGGACUUACUGGGCGUAAAGCGCUCGUAGGUGGUAUGUCAAGUCAAGGGUGAAAGCCCCGGGCUCAACCUGGGAACUGCCAUUGAAACUGGCAGACUGGAGUAUGUGAGAGGAUAGUGGAAUUCCAGGUGUAGGAGUGAAAUCCGUAGAUAUCUGGAAGAACAUCGAUGGCGAAGGCAACUAUCUGGCACAUAACUGACGCUGAGGAGCGAAAGCGUGGGUAGCAAACAGGAUUAGAUACCCCAGUAGUC
rnacentral:rRNA from 1 species